UACGUAGGGAGCAAGCGUUUGUCCGGAAUCAUUGGGCGUAAAGAGCGCGUAGGUGGCUUUAUAAGUCCGUUGUGGAAGUCAAAGGCUCAACCUUUGAAAGCCGAUGGAUACUGUGAAGCUAGAGUACGGAAGAGGCGAGUGGAAUUCCUGGUGUAGCGGUGGAAUGCGCAGAUAUCAGGAGGAACACCGGUGGCGAAGGCGGGUCUCUGGGCCGAUACUGACGCUGAGGAGCGAAAGCGUGGGGAGCGAACAGG
rnacentral:rRNA from 1 species